rnacentral:rRNA from 1 species
AAUGAACGCUGGCGGCAUGCCUAACACAUGCAAGUCGAACGGGACCUUCGGGUCUAGUGGCGCACGGGUGCGUAACGCGUGGGAAUCUGCCCUUGGGUUCGGAAGAACAGUUAGAAAUGACUGCUAAUACCGGAUGUUGUCGUAAGACCAAAGAUUCAUCGACCAAGGAUGAGCCCGUGUAGGAUUAGCUGGUUGGUGAGGUAAAAGCUCACCAAGGCGACGAUCCUUAGCUGGUCUGAGAGGAUGAUCAGCCACACUGGGACUGAGACACGGCCCAGACUACUACGGGAGGCAGCAGUGGGGAAUAUUGGACAAUGGGCGAAAGCCCGAUCCAGCAAUGCCGCGUGAGUGAUGAGGGCCUUAGGGUUGUAAAGCUCUUUUACCCGGGAUGAUAAUGACAGUACCGGGAGAAUAAGCUCCGGCUAACUUCGUGCCAGCCGCCGCAGUAAGAC